rnacentral:tRNA from 1 species
GCCUUCGUGGUGUAAUGAUCAGCACACUGAGUCGGUAUUUCAGAGGUCCGUGGUUCGAUUCCCGGCGAAGGAA